rnacentral:pre_miRNA from 1 species
AGUGUGAUUGCUGGGUCAUAUGGUUAGAAUGUGUUUCAUUUUGUAAGAAAUCGUCAAACUGUUUUCCAAAGUAGCUGUACCAUUUUGCAUUCCCACCAGCAAU